UACAGAGGUCUCAAGCGUUGUUCGGAUUCAUUGGGCGUAAAGGGCGCGAUAGGCUGCGGGGCAAGUCGGGUGUGAAAUCUCAGAGCUCAACUCUGAAAACUGCACUCGAUACUGCUUUGCUCGAGGACUGGAGAGGAGAUUGGAAUUCACGGUGUAGCAGUGAAAAUGCGUAGAUAUCGUGAGGAAGACCAGUGGCGAAGGCGGAUCUCUGGACAGUUCCUGACGCUGAGGCGCGAAAAGUGUGGGGGGAGCAAAACAGGGAUUUAGAAAACCCCC
rnacentral:rRNA from 1 species